GUGGGGAAUAUUGGACAAUGGGCGAAAGCCUGAUCCAGCCAUGCCGCGUGUGUGAAGAAGGUCUUCGGAUUGUAAAGCACUUUAAGUUGGGAGGAAGGGCAGUAAGUUAAUACCUUGCUGUUUUGACGUUACCAACAGAAUAAGCACCGGCUAACUUCGUGCCAGCAGCCGCGGUAAUACGAAGGGUGCAAGCGUUAAUCGGAAUUACUGGGCGUAAAGCGCGCGUAGGUGUUUCAGCAAGUUGGAGGUGAAAUCCCCGGGCUCAACCUGGGAACUGCCACCAAAACUACUGAGCUAGAGUACGGUAGAGGGUAGUGUGAUUUCCUGUGUAGCGGUGAAAUGCGUAGAUAUAGGAAGGAACCCCAGUGGCGAAGGCGACUACCUGGACUGAUACUGACACUGAGGUGCGAAAGCGUGGGGAGCAAACAGGAUUAGAUACCCCGGUAGUCC
rnacentral:rRNA from 1 species